rnacentral:tRNA from 1 species
UCCUCCGUGGUGUAAUUGGCAGCACGACUGAAUCUGGUUCAGUCGGUCUGGGUUCGAAUCCUGGCGGAGGAA